CCUACGGGUGGCAGCAGUGAGGAAUAUUGGUCAAUGGACGAGCGUCUGAACCAGCCAAGUAGCGUGAAGGAUGACUGCCCUAUGGGUUGUAAACUUCUUUUAUAUGGGAAUAAAAUGAUCCACGUGUGGGAUUUUUUAUGUACCAUAUGAAUAAGGAUCGGCUAACUCCGUGCCCGCAGCCGCGGUAAUAAGGAGGAUCCGAGCGUUAUCCGGAUUUAUUGGGUUUAAAGGGAGCGUAGGGGGAUUGUUAAGUCAGUUGUGAAAGUUUGCGGUUCAACCGUAAAAUUGCAGUUGAAACUGGCAGUCUUGAGUACAGUAGAGGUGGGCGGAAUUCGUGGUGUAGCGGUGAAAUGCUUAGAUAUCACGAAGAACUCCGAUUGCGAAGGCAGAUCACUGGACUGCAACUGACACUGAGGCCCGAAAGUGUGGGUAUCAAACAGGAUUAGAGACCCCGGUAGUC
rnacentral:rRNA from 1 species